rnacentral:rRNA from 1 species
UACGAAGGGGGCUAGCGUUGCUCGGAAUUAUUGGGCGUAAAGGGCUCGUAGGCGGUUUGUCGCGUCGGGAGUGAAAACUCAGGGCUUAACCCUGAGCCUGCUCCCGAUACGGGCAGACUAGAGGUAUGCAGGGGAGAACGGAAUUCCUGGUGUAGCGGUGAAAUGCGCAGAUAUCAGGAGGAACACCGGUGGCGAAGGCGGUUCUCUGGGCAUUACCUGACGCUGAGGAGCGAAAGUGUGGGGAGCGAACAGG